GACGAACGCUGGCGGCGUGCCUAAUACAUGCAAGUCGAACGCAGUGGGGACGGGUGAGUAACACGUGGGUAACCUCCCAUCAGAGGGGAUAACACUUGGAAACAGGUGCUAAACCGAUACUGGUGGAUCGACCCGCUGGGGAUUAGCUAGUUGGUGAGGUAACGGCUCACCAAGGCCACGAGGCCUAGCCGGCCUGAGAGGAGGAUCGGCCACACUGGGACUGAGACACGGCCCAGACUCCUACGGGAGGCAGCAGUAGGGAAUCUUCGACAAUGGACGAAAGUCUGACCGAGCAACGCCGCGUGAGUGAAGAAGGUUUUCGGGUCGUAAAACACUGUUGUUAGAGAAGCGGUAUCUAACCAGAAAGCACCGGCUAACUACGUGCCAGCAGCCGCGGUAAUAC
rnacentral:rRNA from 1 species